UUUAUGGAGAGUUUGAUCCUGGCUCAGGAUGAACGCUGGCGGCGUGCCUAAUACAUGCAAGUCGAGCGAACGGACGAGAAGCUUGCUUCUCUGAUGUUAGCGGCGGACGGGUGAGUAACACGUGGAUAACCUACCUAUAAGACUGGGAUAACUUCGGGAAACCGGAGCUAAUACCGGAUAAUAUUUUGAUCUGCAUGGUUCAAAA
rnacentral:rRNA from 1 species